rnacentral:pre_miRNA from 1 species
ACCACUGAGCCACCUUCCCAGCCCCUCUGCUGUUUUUUUUAAAACGGGAAUUAGAGUAUAAAGGUGGGGCUGGGAAGGUGGCUCAGUGGU